rnacentral:lncRNA from 1 species
GUUAUUCCAAGCCCCCAGUUAAAGAUGAGGAUGGGAAAGUUGCUGCUAGUGAGUCAGAGGCUUCGCUUUAUCAGACACGGCCGAGUGUUGGGAUUGAAAAUGAUAGGGUGGAAUAUGAGGUUCAUGUGGUGGAUAAGAAAGUGGUGGAUGAUGAGAGGGCUGAGGAGCGUGGUACCGGGUCAAGGGGCGCUCCAAAGGAUGUUUUUGAGGUGAUUAGAGAGAUACAGGUUCAGUUUGUGAGAGCUGCCGAGUCGGGGACUGAAAUUGCCAAGCUGCUUGAGGUUGGAACACUUCCUCAUCACCGCAAACAUGGUAUGGAUUUUCAUUCUUUUCAUGGGAUUAUUGUGUCAUUUAUUUGUCCUUUCACUUGGCGAGUAAGAAUUUUGUGGAUAUUCAAUAUCUGUGAUUUCACAAGUACUAAUACUUCAUUAGAUUGGACCUUUUUUUUUUGUCCAACUGUUGGUUUUCUGCGAGUCAUACUAACUGUGGGAUUUGGUAUGUUUGUGGAACAGUUUCCAAGAUUUUGCAUGUAGUUACUCCUUCGUUAUCUGUAGUACCAUCUCAGCCAUCUACUUCUCAGACUGGCGAGUCUUCUUCGUCUGCUGACAACACUGAUCCAGCUUUUCUAGACAUCAAUGAAGAAAUGGCCAGGAAAACGAAAAACCUUUCCGCUACUUUGCAGAAGUUGCAUCUUUGGGAAAAGAAGCUCUACAAUGAAGUAAAGGUAUAUUGUGCUUCUGUCCAAGCCUUCUCUUUACAAUUUUAGAUUCAUGAUUAUCUCGAGUUGCUGUAUGGUCUAAUUGAUUCAUGAUUAUAAGUAGUGGUUUCACAUUUGGUUCGUUUUUAAUUUAGUGUAUUAUGUUAGAAUAUGUUUCAUUAUCUAUUAUGUUUUACACUAAUUUUAUUUAUAUCUCAUUUAAGGAAUUGUUUCUCUGAAAGUUGCUGCUCUGAGAUAUUUACCUUUAAAGGGCUUGAUGGUGUUGAUUUUAUGCUUUUUCAUGGAUAGCAUAAUAGUGGCUUUUAUUCAAUUUAUGUUGUUUCUGUACCAUUUUAGAAAUACCUUGUCAUCAUCAUAACUUGGUUUCUAGUGGAACUACAAUGUUUUAGUUAUACUCUGGAAUGAAGAGAUGUUGGGCAUUUCUUUUAGUGGUUCUGUAACCAUUCUUAUCAUUCUAACUAGAAGUUUCUGAUCUUCAGGCUGAGGAGAAGAUGCGGGUAGCUUACGACAGGAAAUCUCACAAGUUAAGGCGACUAGAUCAAAGGGGUGCUGAAGCUAAUAAAAUUGAGUCAACCCGGAAUACAAUCAGGGGUCUGUCCACGAAGAUAAGAAUAGCAAUUCAAGUUGUUGACAAGAUAUCUGUGACAAUUAAUAAAAUCAGGGAUGAGGAACUAUGGCCACUGCUAAAUGAACUGAUUGAAGGGUCAGAUUAUUUCCAUUUGAGUGUUCUUAGUAUUUGAUUUCUUUAAUUAGCAUCUUUGAUGAGAUUACUUAAAGCUGCCUUUAUUGGUUGCAUGAUGACAUUGCUUUAACAGUUUUACCAGUUUUACGGGUCUCUUGCCCUUGCUAGCAAUGAGAGGUGAAUGUCAAUGCUGCAUGCUGGCAUGUGAGGUCUUUAAAGAGUAUGAGGGAUCAAAUAAUGAAAAAGAAAGGUGUUAGCUGACCUGCCCUUGGUCAGAAGAUUCUUCUACAGUUUUUGUUAAGAUAGAUGCUGUUAGAUCAUGCAUUCUUUUCUUUCUCUUCACGUGGAUUCUUGAACCAUUGGAAUCAAAUAGUUCAUGGGUUUGGCCUAAAAUGUCUAGUUACUAUGACUGGAAAAUUAUUUGAGUUUCAGGUUUAGUGCUUGAGAUUCUAUAUCUAUUGAAAUCUUAUUAGAAGUUGAGAAAAGCAUGUGCUAUACGAUGCUUUAUUGAACCAAAGAUGCAAUAUAGAUACCCUUUAAGUAUACAGAUUGCCUUUACUAAUCGGGGUAGUGUUUCACUGAAAGGAUUUUCUCUUUCUUUUAGUACCUUUUUCUUCCUGUGCCCGAAUUGGAAGAUAAAUGGUUGAGCUAGUAAUUAUAUUUUUGUACAUUUAGCACGAACAUUUAGCAAAUAAUAUGCUUCCAAUGAAGUACUAUGAUUUUUGUAGUUGAGAACAUGAAUUCGAGAUAAAUGUACUUUAAUUUGGUGUUACGUAAAUAUUUCCAUUAAAUAAAUGUAGUAUGUAUUAAAUAUUAUCAAUAAUAUCAAAACCUAUAUUUCUGAUGUAUGCAUUUAUUUAGUAUACUGGAGUGUGAUUUUGACAGCGACUUUUCAUCUAAGUAUAUCAUAUUUGCCUUCCAACAGUAUAUAUCACACAAAUAGAUAUUUGAGACUUUAACUCACUUUAUGUAAGAAACCAAGCAAAGAUAAUUUUUAUGAGAUCAUAUUCACAAAUGUAAAAUCUGGGUGUCAAAUUACUUUCCAGUUGGGGCUCUUGCAUGUUUUUUUCUUUGCAGCGCUAACUUCAUAUCUUUUUCAUGGUUUUCAUAUCCUUGAUUGUAUUGAAUUAACAAACCUUUUCGCUCCAAACAAAUAUGGACUUAUCAUUUACAUUUUUAUUCUCUUAAUUCUUUUUGCGUAGUCUUAUCUCAUUUCCUUGUAUUUUUUUCCAGGUUAGACAGAAUGUGGAAAUCAAUGCUUGAAUGUCAUCGUAAUCAAUGUCAAGUAGUUAGAGAAGCCAAAACUUUAGGUCUCAUUGGAUCUGGCAAAAAACUCAGUGAUGAUCAUCUUACGGCCACACUGCAGUUCGAGCAUGAACUUAUUAGUUGGACUAUAAGAUUCUCAAGUUGGAUAGAUGCCCAGAAGGGUUAUGUAAGAGGUUUGAAUAAUUGGCUACUAAAAUGUCUUUACUACGAACCAGAAGUAACUGAUGAUGGAGUAGCUCCCUUCUCACCUAGUAGAAUAGGCGCACCACCCAUAUUUGUAAUAUGUAACCAGUGGUCACAAGCAAUGGAUAGGAUAUCAGAAAGGGAGGUGAUCAACUCUAUGCGGGUUUUAGUGACUGGUGUGCUCCAGCUUUGGGAACAAGAUAAGUCAGAAAUGCAUCGGAGGAUGAUGGCCAAUAAGGAUUUAGAGAGGAAGGCUAGGAAUUUGGAUAGAGAGGAUCAGAAGCUGCAGAAAGAUAUCCAAGCAUUAGAUAAGAAAAUUGUUUUGGUCUCUGGAGAUGGUAGCAGUCUCUCGGUAG